rnacentral:rRNA from 1 species
UACGUAGGUGGCAAGCGUUGUCCGGAUUUACUGGGCGUAAAGAGCGCGCAGGCGGUCGAAUAAGUCGAAUGUGAAAGCCCCGGGCUCAACCUGGGAAUUGCAUUCGAGACUGCGUAGCUAGGGUGCGGAAGAGGGAAGCGGAAUUUCCGGUGUAGCGGUGAAAUGCGUAGAUAUCGGAAGGAACACCAGUGGCGAAAGCGGCUUCCUGGCUUCAGACUGACGCUGAGGUGCGAAAGCGUGGGUAGCGAACAGG